UGCUUAUUGGUGGAGGGCUGGAGUUGCUCUAAGAAGAGCGCCGCUCUCAUGCUCAACCAAAAAGCUCGAAAAACCCAACAGAUAGAGAAGGGCAGAGAAUGGAAGACUCACUAGCAAAACUAGAGCGAAUCCAAACCCAAAUCAUCGAACGCAUAUCAAAGCUUGAGCUCUCCACCUCCGCUUCUCUUCAGCAAUUCACCGCUACCCCCAUCCCUACCUCAACUCAAAACGCCGCCGUCAGCGCCAACGAAGCCCGCCUCUCCGCCAUUCUCCUAGCCAAUGACGUAAAAAACUUCGCCUAUAAGAGGGUUCCCUCCGAUUACUACGAUUGGUCUCUCGACGCCCGGCGCGACGCUCUCGGCGCUGCCUCAAUCCACCAUCUCUGCAAAAGCAUUAUCUUGGUAGUUGUGUCGUUGAUUGUAGUGACAGCAACAAUUCAAAAUACUAUGUUGUUGUCUUUCAGUACACUGCUCGGUUUAAUGCUGAAGCUGUUAAGAACUUCUUGUAUUCGCUCAACGAGGGCAAGAUAGCGAAAAAGAAAUUCAACUAAGGUGAUAGUGGUUGUUAUUGGGUAUGCAUUGAGACUUGCACCUGAGGAUAAAUCAAUAGAAUUGACUGGAUUUGAGCACAAUGCAGUUACAUGUGUUGGCAUGAAAACAGACAUUCCGGUGAUUUUGGAUGAAGCAAUUGAGAAACUUAAUCCCGAUUUCUUCUGGUUGGGCGGCGGCGAGGUUGAUCUGAAGCUGGGCAUCAGAACCUCAGAAUUUAUAAACUUUGCUAAACCUUUUAUUGUGAGCUGCAGUAGUUCUUGAUUUAUCCAAAGAAACUAGAAUCAAAAUUUAUAAAAGAAUACAUUAUCAAAUAAAACCCAUGAAUUGAUUAACUGCUUUGGUUGCUAUCUUGUAGUGUUUUUACUCCUGCCGAUGAUCGAUUCAUUUCAAACAGAUUGAGUCCCAUAACUAAUGUAGUUUAUGUAUAGAGCAGGGGCUGGUUUCCUUGCAGAUUUUAUGAAUAGCUACUGCUUUUCUCCCUGCCAUUUUUAACGAAAAUGUAAUGUGGAAUACAUUUAGUGCAUGGACAUGGACAUCCAUUUUCCAGCCAAUUUGUGCAGUGUGGUUAAUUGGAAAAUUGGAAAAGAUGUGAUGGGUUGCUACUAGCUACUGAUAAACUGCAAUGUGAAAACUGCCAUAACUACAAUCACUGAAUGGACAAACUUAUUAACAGGGGACAGUGGCGGAUCCAUAUAGGGACCAAGGUGGUCCUAGGACCACCCGGAUGCCAGAAAAACGCCUAUGAAGAUCCUUCGGGGACCCUCCAAAUAUUACAAUAGGGAGGACAGAUUCAUGCUUAGGACUACAUGGGCUACGCCUAGGAAAUUUAUUUUGUUAAAUGACAUAGUUAUGGAUGGACCGUGGUACAAUCAAAAUUCUGGUGCACUGCAUCCAUGGAGGAGGUAGAGGAGUUGCAGCUUUCCCGCAAGGAAGAAGGUUGAAACUCCUUUUUUUUUCUUCUUUUAUCUGCUACAUAGGCUUACCAUUACUACUAAAAUAUGACCUUUAAAAAGCAC